UACGUAGGGGGCAAGCGUUGUCCGGAUUUAUUGGGCGUAAAGAGCGUGUAGGCGGCCAGGUAGGUCUGCUGUGAAAACUUGAGGCUCAACCUCGAGACGUCGGCGGAAACCAUCUGGCUAGAGUCCGGAAGAGGAGAGUGGAAUUCCUGGUGUAGCGGUGAAAUGCGCAGAUAUCAGGAAGAACACCCGUGGCGAAGGCGGCUCUCUGGGACGGUACUGACGCUGAGACGCGAAAGCGUGGGGAGCGAACAGG
rnacentral:rRNA from 1 species